UAAUAGUUGGUAGUAGUAGACGCGAAACCUGGUGAUCUACCCUUGGGCAGGUUGAAGCGCUGGUAACACAGCGUGGAGGACCGAACUGGUUGUCGUUGAAAAGACUUCGGAUGACCUGAGGGUAGGGGUGAAAGGCCAAUCAAACUGGGAAAUAGCUCGUACUCCCCGAAAUGCAUUUAGGUGCAGCGUUGAUGCGAGUUUAAUAGAGGUAGAGCUACUGAUUGGAUGCGGGGGUUUCAUCGCCUACCAAUUCCUGACAAACUCCGAAUGCUAUUAAAUGCUCAUCAGCAGUGAGGGUAUGGGUGCUAAGGUCCAUAUCCGAGAGGGAAAGAACCCGGACCAUCAGCUAAGGUCCCCAAAUAUAUGCUAAGUUGACCAAACGCGGUCUGACUGCACUGACAGCUAGGAUGUUGGCUUGGAAGCAGCCAUACAUUUAAAGAGUGCGUAACAGCUCACUAGUCGAGCGGUUGGGCAUGGAUAAUAAACGGGCAUAAGCAUAUUACCGAAGCUAUGGGGUUAUACAUUUGUAUAUACCGGUAGGGGAGCAUUCUAUUGGCGUUGAAGCUAAAGGCGUGAGCCAUAGUGGAGCCUAAUAGAAAAGAAAAUGUAGGCAUAAGUAACGAUAAGGCAGGCGAGAAACCUGCCCGCCGAAAGAUCAAGGUUUCCUCAGCUAUGCUAAUCAGCUGAGGGUUAGUCGGGGACUAACGCGAACCCGAGUAGGGGUAGUGGAUGUACAAUAGGUUAAUAUUCCUAUACCAUUAGUCUGUUAAAAGUGACGGAAUGAGAUAACUACCGCGUACUGACGGAAUAGUACGUUUAAGGAGUUGUUAUGACUUCGAAAGUACGCUGAGGCUUCGGCCGAGGUGAGUGUGGUGACAACGUUUCCAAGAAAAGCGAAGACUAAUGCCCGUACCGUAAACCGACACAGGUGAUUGGGAUGAGAAUUCUAAGGCGCUCGAGAGAUUCAUGGCUAAGGAACUAGGCAAAAUAGACCUGUAACUUAGGGAGAAAGGUCGCCUAUCUUGUGAUAGGCCGCAGUGAAAAGGUCCAAGCGACUGUUUAUCAAAAACACAGGACUCUGCAAAAUCGAAAGAUGAAGUAUAGGGUCUGACACCUGCCCGGUGCUGGAAGGUUAAGAGGAGAGCUUAGCAGCAAUGCGAAGGUUUGAAUUGAAGCCCCAGUAAACGGCGGCCGUAACUAUAACGGUCCUAAGGUAGCGAAAUUCCUUGUCGGGUAAGUUCCGACCUGCACGAAUGGUGUAACGAUUUGGACACUGUCUCGGCCAUGAGCUCGGUGAAAUUGUAGUAUCGGUGAAGAUGCCGAUUACCCGCAGUGGGACGAAAAGACCCUGUGCACCUUUACUAUAUCUUCGUAUUGGUCUUGGAUAAGUGAUGCGUAGGAUAGGUGGGAGACUGUGAAGCGGCUAUUCCGGUAGUUGUGGAGUCAUUGUUGAAAUACCACCCUUUGCUUAUCUGAGGUCUAAC
rnacentral:rRNA from 1 species